rnacentral:rRNA from 1 species
ACUCCUACGGGAGGCAGCAGUGGGGAAUAUUGCACAAUGGGCGCAAGCCUGAUGCAGCCAUGCCGCGUGUGUGAAGAAGGCCUUCGGGUUGUAAAGCACUUUCAGUCGUGAGGAAGGUAGUGUAGUUAAUAGCUGCAUUAUUUGACGUUAGCGACAGAAGAAGCACCGGCUAACUCCGUGCCAGCAGCCGCGGUAAUACGGAGGGGUUAGCGUUGUUCGGAAUUACUGGGCGUAAAGCGCACGUAGGCGGACUAUUAAGUUAGAGGUGAAAUCCCAGGGCUCAACCCUGGAACUGCCUUUAAUACUGGUAGUCUUGAGUUCGAGAGAGGUGAGUGGAAUUCCGAGUGUAGAGGUGAAAUUCGUAGAUAUUCGGAGGAACACCAGUGGCGAAGGCGGCUCACUGGCUCGAUACUGACGCUGAGGUGCGAAAGUGUGGGGAGCAAACAGGAUUAGAUACCCUGGUAGACAUC